rnacentral:tRNA from 1 species
GCAUCGGUGGUUCAGUCGUAGAAUGCUCGCCUGCCACGCGGCGGCUCGGGUUCAAUUCCCGGCUGAUGCA